rnacentral:pre_miRNA from 1 species
CAAGUACUCCCUCCGUCCGGAAUUACUUGUCAUCAAAAUGGAUGUGUCUAGAACUAAAAUACAUCUAGAUACAUCCAUUUCAAUGACAAGUAUUUUCGGACGGAGGGAGUACANA